GACGAACGCUGGCGGCGUGCUUAACACAUGCAAGUCGAACGGAAAGGCCCUGCUUUUGUGGGGUGCUCGAGUGGCGAACGGGUGAGUAACACGUGAGUAACCUGCCCUUGACUUUGGGAUAACUUCAGGAAACUGGGGCUAAUACCGGAUAGGAGCUCCUGCUGCAUGGUGGGAGUUGGAAAGUUUCGGCGGUUGGGGAUGGACUCGCGGCUUAUCAGCUUGUUGGUGGGGUAGUGGCUUACCAAGGCCUUGACGGGUAGCCGGCCUGAGAGGGUGACCGGCCACAUUGGGACUGAGAUACGGCCCAGACUCCUACGGGAGGCAGCAGUGGGGAAUAUUGCACAAUGGGCGGAAGCCUGAUGCAGCAACGCCGCGUGCGGGAUGACGGCCUUCGGGUUGUAAACCGCUUUCGCCUGUGACGAAGCGUGAGUGACGGUAAUGGGUAAAGAAGCACCGGCUAACUACGUG
rnacentral:rRNA from 1 species